UGCAAAAUCUGACCUCGCAGAGCAAGUUGUUUUUGAAAAUAAUCUUCUUUAGUCUGGCCAACUUGAAAUUAUAUCAUGACCCUGCAUUGGAAAAUCUGAACUUUGACCUUUUCAGAUGAUGAAUAUGCAUUAUGAUCUACCAAUUCAGAGCAAUGACCAAACUCUUGGCCUCCAAAUGCUGUUGAGGGAGACAAGGGCAGCUUGAGAUCAGGAUUUGAGUAGUGGUGGUGUUAUACCUUCUGUACGUGGCCCAGUGGCAGAGUCAGUAUGAAAACCUGUCCCUUCAGAAUGCCAACCGGAAAGACAAUGCCAAAGGAAUUUUGUCACACCCAAGAUGGGCCAUUGAUGGAUUUAAUGAUGUCUCUGUCCUUAGUCCCAGGAAGGAGGACAGGACACCGCAGUGAGGGGACCUCAGAGUCCUCAGAGGGGACAGCAGAGGUGCCAGAGAGAACCUCAGAAGUAAGGAGGACCCAUGUGGACUCGAUCUCUUGGGAACCGGCUGUUUCUUGAGACUGGGCCUAAGCAGCUUUGGUGAACCAGUCCCAAAUCCUACCAUCGAAAAGGAAAAUAUGGUGAGGUUGCAGACUUAUGUGCCUGGAGUCUGCUGGACAGUUUCUGUGAAAAUUUCCCAAAGCAGGGAUCUCUCCAGAUUUCCAUGUGACAGCAAAAGCCUUGGCUGCAGGGAACUGCUUAGGACAUUUCUCUAUACCUAGGUUUUCUUGACCUAAGCAUAUGUGAAGGGCUGCUGUCUGACUCACCCUUCAUUUGACCUAUUUUUGAAAUGACUUCUUUACAAAAAGCUGGAGAUAAGUGCAGAGAAUUACACAUUUAUAAUCCUAGUAUA